rnacentral:lncRNA from 1 species
CUCCCCCUCCCCCUUCCCUCCCCAUAAUCCCAUCUCCCCCUCUCUUCUCCUUUUCAACCAGAUUUAUUUCUUCCUUAACUUUUCAUCCUCUUUUUGGAUAUGGAAUCUCCUUUGGGAUACAACAACCAUAUCUAUAAGAGCUUUCUCACUCAUUUCCCGGAUUGUAUUUAGAGCUUUUGCUACGGUUCUUGCUCUUGUGCUUGCACCAAUACUUUUCAUUCUCUUGGUGUCGGUCUUCUGGUAUAUACCUUAGUGUUGUGAUUGGUUGUUGUUUUCUCUUAGAUGCAUUGGCAGAUUUGGGUGUGAUGGAGAAGGUGACUUUAGGAGGAACGUUCCAGGGCUGAUGUGUUUUCGAUUUUUGGGGAAUAUCUAUUUUUGGUGGAAAUCGGUGGGUGUCUAUAUGCAGCAAUGCUGACCUGUGUGGUGGUGGUGUACUCCCUCCUUUGGGCCCAUUAUGAUGAGGUCUCCGUCCCCUUUGCGAAAGACGGUGGCUUUGUAUUGUAUUUUGGUUUGAUUUUAUGAUGGGGAAGACUAUUAUACUAGACUGUACUGAUUCUAGUUUAAUCUUCUCUGUGUUUGUGGUAAUUUGUUCCUUUAGCUGGCCUUUUUGGCCUUUGUAUUCUCUGUUUGUUUCCUCCAAUUUAUGAGUUUUGAAUGAACAUGAUUGAUUCUGACAAAAAAAAAAAAAAAACUGUAGAAUUCAUAAAACAAACUCGUAUUUGAAAUAAAGCAAGUAGACAAGAAUUCAAUGGAAGAGAACUCCUUAGUCUGAAAUAAAGAUUUUAAAUUGUAGAAUUCAUAAAAACAAAC